rnacentral:rRNA from 1 species
CGAGUAUAGUGGCGAACUGGUGAGUAACGCGUAAGUAUUUGCCCUUUAGUGAAGAAUACCCUCGAGAAAUCGAGGUUAAUACUGCAUACGUCCCUUCGGGGAGAAAGGUGGCCUCUUGCUACCGCUUAAGGAUGAACUUGCGUACUAUUAGCUUGUUGGUGAGGUAAAGGCUCACCAAGGCAAUGAUGGUUAGCCGGCCUGAGAGGGUGACCGGCCACAUUGGGACUGAGAUACGGCCCAG